CACGGUGGCUCUCUCAUUUCAUCUACAAGACCUUCUAUUUCCAUGAUUACAACCAUGCUUUCAAAUGAUUACUCUGCAGGUCAGACCUUCUCUUAACAAAAUAUAGUAAACAUUAUUUACCUUCCUUCUGUGAUACUCCGUCAUAACUGCAAUAUUGAUGUAUAUAACUGAACAGACAUACAUGAUACAUAAUCUCUGUCACAAAAUUGUAAUUAUAAGGCAUCUUACCAUGCGCAGUUAUAGAAAAUUCUGCAUCGGGUUCUUUCAAUUUUACAUCCCCGAGCGUUAGCAUUGGAAAUUGCAGCUUUUCUUAUGUUCUUAUACCUUGUUAUUCCCCUAGUUAUGGAAAACCCUAUGUAAUUGCUAUCUCCAGAGUUCUUCAUAAAGCCCGGGCUUUGUAAAUGUGCAUUAGUGCUACUAUCACCUUCGAAUUAUUUAUAAGAGUCCUUUUUGCAUUUAGCCCCCUAUAUUUUUUUUUGGGUUAAUUACACCAAGGUCCCUAACUUUUACACAGUUUUUCAAUUUUGUCCCCAACCUUUUUUUUUUUUUUUGUGCAAUCAAGUCCCUAAUCUUUUGAUUUCAUUUCAAUUAAGUCCCAAUCGUUAGACAGCCGUUAAAAUUGACGGAAAAUGCCACGUCAGCACCACAGAGGCGCCAUGUCAGCGCCACGGUGGCGCUGUGUCAGCGGAUUGCAAAAAAAAAAAAAGGUUAGGGACCAAAUUGAAAAAUGGUGCAAAGGUUGAGGACCAAUGGUGUAAUUAACCCAUUAAAUUUAUAAAUUCAAAAAAAUUUUAUUUAAGAUUUAAAUUUUAAAUUUAAAAUUUUGAAUUUUUUUUAGGGACUAAAAUGAAAAAUGUGCAAAGUUUAGGGACCUAAUUGAUAUGCAAAAGGUUGCCAUAUAGACGUUGACGUGGUGAUUCCGUUAAUUUUAACCCUUUUUUUAACGGUUGAGACCUAAUUGUAAUAAAAUCAAGACGUUAGGGACUCAAUUGUAAAAAAAAAAAGGUUGGGGAUUCAAGUGAAAAUUGGUGGAAAUGUUGGGGACUACUGGUGUAAUUAACCCUUUUUUUUUUUACAAAUGAUCCCAAUAAAUUUAUAUUUCGAGAAAUGACACUCUUCAUGCCACGCAAAGCUUUAUGUUGGACUCGGAAGAGUCAUAUAAGCGUUUUAAGUUGAACAUGAUGAUUUAGUUAUUGUGUUUAAACACGGUAAUUGGAUUAUCGUGUUUCUUUUUUGUGUUUUUCACCGUAUUUGUUUUAUUUUUCAUCUCUCGUAAGUCGAAGAAUAGAGGGACUAAAGUAUGGUUAUAAAUACGGUAAUUUCAUCACCAUGUUUAAACACAUUGAUUGAAUUAUCGUAUUCAACUUAACAUAAUCUUCUUUUGUUAAACGUGGUGCUUGUGUGGCAAGGAGAUGGUUAUUUAUGUAAAUAUAAAUUUGCUAAGGCUAUUUAUUAAAAUAAAAGUUGUGAGGGACCUAAAUGCAAAAAAAAAUCCAUAUUUAUAUUUGAGUUUUUCAAUAAUUGAACAAACUUAACAUAUUGCUCUCACAUUACUGCUGAUUGUCUUGUUUUCGAAAUAUAAUAAUUUGUGCAAAGAAGCUGAUAUUAACUUUUCUUAUUCCGUUACGCGCGGAGCAAGCCUAAUUUUUUUUUCUACUAUUUUACAAUUAUAUCAUCUAUUUAUUUAACUACAUUAAAGGAGGGUUUGGGAGACCUUAGAGUGACACGUGUCCCCCCAACCCUCCUCUUCUCUCUCCUUCUAUACACACACAACAACACACACAACACACACAGCACACAACAUAUAUAUAUAUAUAUAUAUAAUAUAUAUAAUAUAUAUAGUAUAUAUAUAAAUUUAAAAUUUAAAAAUUUUGAUAAUUUUAAAUUUUAAAAGUUUAAAUUUUAAAUUAAUAUUUUUAUAAUUUAAAUUAUAAUAUUUAUUUUAAAUUUUAAACUUUUUAAAAAUUUAAAAUUUAAAUCUUAAAUCUAAUAAUACGUGUAAAUACAUUAAAGGAGGGUUUGGGGACUUACCGAGUACACGUCGUCCCCCAACCCCUCUUCUCUUCCUUUCUUUACACACACACACCAACACACAACUACAACACACACAUAUAUAUUAUAUAUAUAUAUAAUUAUAAUAUAUAUAUAUAAUUAUAUAAUUUUAAAAUUUAAGAAAUUUUGAUAUUUUUAAAGUUUUAAAAGUUUUAAAUAUUAAAUUUAUAUUUUUAUAUUAUUAGAUUUAUAAUAUUUAUUUUAAAUUUUAAACUUUCAAAUUUAAAAUUUUAAAUCUCUAAAGAUUUUUAAUAAAUACGCGUAAUAAAUCGCGUAAUAUAAAUUUAACGCUAAUAAAAUGUAAUUUAAAUUACAUAAAAUCUAGGUUUUAGUCAAUAUUAUAAUAUAUAUUAUACGUAAUAUAUUAAUAUAUAUUAUAAUAUAUAUAUAUAUAUGUAUAUAUGAUAUAUAUAGUAUAUAUUAUUAUUUAUAUUAUUUAUUGAUUAUUAUUAUUAGUUAUUAUAUCUAAGCAUUAAGGACGGGUUAUGGGGUAGACCUUGUAGAUGGACAGCUUGUCCCCCAACCCUCUCUUUCUCUCUCUUCUUUAGCAAACACAUCACGACACACACACAGCACACACACACAACACACACAAUAAUAUAUAUAUAAUAUAUAAUAUAUAUAUAUAUAAAAAUCUUAAAAAUUUAAAAAAUUUCUGAUAUUUUAAAUUUUAAAAGUUUUUAAAUUUUAAAUUUUAUUUUAUAUUUUACAUUAUGAAUAUUUAUUUUUAAAUUUAAACUUUUCAAAAUUUAAAUUUUAAAUUUUCUCUAGAUCUAAUAAUACGCGUAAUAAAUCGCGUAAUAAAAUUUACUAAUAAAUUAUUUAAAAUUACAUAAAAUACUGGCUGUAAAAUAAAAAAUAUAGAAUUCUAUUUAGGACUAAAAAUUUUAGAAUAUAGUGUAUAGUGUAAUAUAUCAAUUAUUUAUUAAAUAAUUUUUUUUACAAUUUUACAUUUUUUUUUAUUUAUUGGUUUUCUUAAAUUAUUUUGAUAGAUUUAUCUCAAAUUCUUUUCAUAUAAAUUUUAUAAAAUAAAUUAUUGUAUAAAUUUACUUUGCGCAUAAUUAUUUUUAUAUAACAUUUUAUUUAAUUAAUAAUUAGACUUAUAAAACUAUAUAAAAAUAUUAAAAAAUAUAUAAUUUAUUAUAAAAAUAAUUUUAUAUCCGCAGCAUCGCGCGGGUAAUUUACUAGUUAUUCAUUAAAUGAUAGUGAUCUGUUUCUAACAUAAUAUGUGUUGUUUUUUUUUCUUUUAUUUUAUCAACAACUUAGAAAUACAUCCAGCAUUACAAGGGAGAUCAGAUUGUAAGAUAAUAUGAUCUUACAAAGUUGCAUUGGCAAGAGCAUGAGCUUCUACAAAGGCCCAGUGCGUUAUCAGAAAGAAUAGCGAGAACUUCUUUCCACACAUAUCUGUAGAUAAUUGUAUAGAAUGCUGCCCACGAACUAAUUAGUUGAAGUGUAUGUAAAAUAGCAUAUAAUUUUUCCUCGGCAAUAGAGCAGGCGUAGAUAAGUUUUUUUUUUUUUUUUUUUUGAGAGAAAGAUAGCAUGCUAUCCACUUUAUUUUUUUUAGAAAUAAAUUUAGUUGAAAAUGUGAAUAAACUAAGAUUCGAAUUUGAGACCUCAGAUACCAAUCACUAAAUUCUCUGCCACUUGCACCAGGGUCGGUCAGUUAGGCGCAAAUAAACUUAGUAAGAUAAUUGGGGCCGAAGGUACUUGUACCUUUAGCCUGCGUUUGGUGUUGGUAUAAAUAAAAAUUGCUUAUUUCAAGAAUAAAUACAAGUUGAGGUAUAAGUAGGAAUUAUAUUAAUUUUAUAUUUGCAUGAAAAUUGAGUUGUUUUUGGAGAAUAAGAUAGUGGUGUUUAGAUACUUUAGAUUAGAACAGAAGGAAUAAAAAUUAUAAUUUUAAAUUAAAAAUAUUUUAUUAAUUAUAAAAAUAACAACUUUUUAAUUAGUUAUUUUAGUUAGAUAAUUAGUUAAAGAUGAAAUAGAUUAAUUAAUCAAACUAUUAAUGAUUGAUCAAUUUAAAUAUCGGUUAUUGAAUGAAUUGAUUAAAAUGUUAAUUUUAAUUAAUUAAUUAAUUAUAAAUAAUAAAUAAAUUAAUUACUUUACUAUUUAAACAAAUAUGUAAUGACUUAAAUACAUUAAUUAGAUUAAUUAAUAAUUUAAUACCAUAAUUAAAAUUAGAUUAGAUUUUAAUUAACUUUGUUUUUAUUUGGAAACAAAGUUUGUUCAAGAAAGGAUGGUGGAACAGCUCUUUCAAGAUCAUACGGGAUUAUACCAGCUUAUUUUAGACAUAGAAAAUUUACUAUUUUCAGAUGAAAAAAUCAGCGUGCCAUUUUGUUCCCGAACCAAACACAAUCUUAAGGAUCAAAGUGUCACAACAGUCAUAGUUUGAGGACCAAAAAGUAUAGUUUAGCUAAUUCCCAUAAAACAAAACUGAACAAGGCUCACACACUUCCAACCGUCGCUUCUUCAUCCUCACAUUCCCUGCUCAAAACUAUCCUCCUCCCACUCCCCCUCCCCUCGAUCUUCAUCAUCCACUAUGCUAUCUCUCAUCACCCUCCCUUCUCCUCGCCUCUUCCCCACUCCCUCUCCUUCGCCACCCAAAACCCUAAACCCUAAACCCUCUCCUCCCCUCUCCCUCCACCACCACCUCCGCCGCCACCGCAGUCCCGCACGAACCGCCACCACCGUUCUCCGCUCCCACGGCCUCUCCUCCGCCCCCUCCCCCGCCCUCUCCGACGCCUCCGACCCCUUCGACAUCGGCGCCGGCCAGGGCGACGAUGCGAAGUUCGAUUGGUACGCCCAAUGGUACCCGGUGGCUCCCCUGUGCGACCUCGACAAGCGGGCGCCGCACGCGAAGACGGUGAUGGGGCUCGACGUGGUGGUGUGGUGGGACCGGGCCGAGGGGCGGUGGCAGGUGUUCGACGACCGCUGCCCCCACCGCCUCGCCCCGCUCUCCGAGGGCCGCAUCGACCCCCGCGGCCGCCUCCAGUGCGUCUACCACGGCUGGUGCUUCGACGGCAGCGGCAACUGCAAGUACAUUCCCCAGGCGCCGUCCAGCGGCCCCCAGGUCAGCUCCAUUUGGGGUUCUAAAACAUGAUUUACUCGUGUUUUACUUUUGAAUUAGUGUAGUUUUCUAGAUGGUUCUUGUUUUAGAAUUGCAUCAUAUAAUUGGGAGCUCAAUUGAGUGCAAAUUGGGCACUAGUUGUGUGAUGUGAUGUCUCAUGGGAUGGGAAAUAAAUUAUGAUUGAGGAUGUUAGAACCAAAGGCUGACUUUGUAAUAAUAACUGAACUUAAGCGGGACUCUUGAUUUGGGCCCAAUGAGUUAUUAGUGUUAGACGUCGGAUCGUUACAUUUGGGGCCUUUGGAGCCUCUUUAUUUAACCGUAAGUGGGCUUUGGAUUGAACUACAGUUCAGAUGAAGAUUACUUCUCCUCCAUUGUUUGUUUUUAUGGCUGCCGAAGUAAAGUUUUUCCACUUCUGUUGUUUAUUUGGCAGAAAGUGAAUGAUGUAAAAAGUGAAGUUCCUCACUUCCUAUGUUUCUUUUAUCGAAAACUCUUGAGUCCUCACACUCCCAGUAAACUGGCCUCCUAUAUAGGGAUGUAAUGUCGGCCGUGCCGGGCCAAAGUUCUUGGAACCCGGCCCAGCACUGCCCCCCGGCCUGGACUGCACUGGCCGUGCCGGGCCGGGCCGGGCUUCGGGCCAGCUCUUUUUUAUUUUAUUAAUUUUAUUUAAAAAUAUUUAAAUUUUUUAAAAAAUAAAAAUAAAAAUAUUAAUUUUUUAAAAAAUAAUAUAUCAGUAAAAAAAAUUAAAAUUUUAAAAUAUAUUUAUAAAAAUAUUAAAAUUUUAAAUUAUUUUUAAAAUUUUAAAGUUUUUGGACCAAAAUAUCCUCCCAACAGUCAAUUUUUGACUGUUGGGAAGGGCAUUUUAGUUCAAGCUCAAUUCCCAAAGCCACAGCCCAACUCUUUGACUCUUGGGAGUCCCAAAGUAACAGCCCAACUCCCAAAGUGGGAGUUGGGUGGUGCAAGGCCUUGGGAGUUGGGUGGUACCCAGUGCUUGAAAAGACGCGAGGCGCAAAAAGGCGCAAGACCUUUUUGGAGCCUAGGCGCGAGGCGCACUACGAGGCGCGCGCCUCAAGAAGGCAAGGCCCACAUUUACUAAAUCUAAUUUAAUUUGAUAUUCCACAUUAAAAAAAAACUCCAAAAUAACCAUACAAAAGUAAAAUAACUAUCAAAAAGUAAAGAAAUUUGUUUUGCCAGGCUGAAGCUAGCAGCAUCAGCGUUUUUGGAUUCCAAUUCCAACAAGAAACUCUAAGGGCUUGUUUGGUUUAAGGGUGGAAUUGGAAUGGAUAAUGGAAUGGGAAUGAAUUGGAAUGGUAAUUGGAAUGGCCCACUCCCCCAAGACGUUUGGUUUAUUUGUGGAUUGAGAAUUGGAAUGAGUUAUUCACAUUUCAUUGUUUUGUUCGUAUAAACUAAAAAAAUUAUAGGAUACUAUAAUACUAAUUUUUCUCUCAAAUAUAAAUUUAUAUUAUUUAAAAUUUAUGAAAAAUAUAAUACUAUUCUCUAAUAAGUUUUCCAAAAACAAUAUCAAAUUUAUUUUUAAAAACUUUUAUUGAUGUUGGUUAGGGAUAGGGUUUUAAGAGAGGAUAGAUUUUUUUUUUUUGAUGAGAAAGGGGGUGAAGAGAAGGAGGGUAAGAUGGUCACAUGAACUUCGAGAACUUAGUGGGCUUCCGGAAUGAAAUCUCAAUCCGGGCUAGAAGACCGGAAUCAAGUUGAAGGCUAAUGGGCCAUUCCCAUUUCAGUUCGGAAUAGGAAUCCCAAACCGAUUCAUGCGAAUCAAACAAAAUUAACCGGAUUUGAUCAAACCGAUUCCCAUUCCAUACCCAAAAUGGAUGAACCAAACAAGCCCUAAAUGUUUUCAUUGCCAAACACUUGGCAUCUGCCCUAGAUGAAAAAAAAAAAACAUUUGGGAAAAAAUAAAAAAAAUAUUAAAAGGAAUCAAAUCCUAUAAAUAAUAACUAAAAACAAGUUCAAAACAAAAAACUGGAUCAAGAAAUAUGCAAUCGAAACAAAAAAAGUAAAAACAUAUGAAAAAAAAAAGAAAAAUCUCAAAAAUACAUCAAAUCCUGAAAAAAAUAACUAAAAAUAGAUUCAAAGGAAAAAUAUUGGAGUAUAGAGGCAAUACUUACUUGAUUGCUGCUUGUUCUUGCUUUCUUGCUGCCGCUGCUCCUGUUUCUGCUGCUGCAGUGCCGCUGUAAAUAAAAAAACUGAUGCUGCUCUUGACAAUAGAUGCUUGCUGAGUGCUGACCACUGCUCCUCCUUGCUUCUUCCUACUGCGGAUGCUUGCUGGAUGCGAAGUUGCCCACGGAUAGAGAAGGGAUAGGGAGAGAAGGGCGGUAGAAGGAGAGGGCAGUAGAUGAUUUCAUUAGGGUUUUUUUUUAUGUUUCUUAUAGAAUCUUUUACUAAGCUUAUCGGGUUAAAACAUAAAAUUUAUACCCAAAAUCCAACAACCCGAAAACCUUAGUCCAAAAUCCAAGAAAUAUUAAAUAUGCUGAGGCGCGCGCCUUAUGUGCGCCUCGCGCCUCGCCUGAGGCGCGCGCCUCAGGGCCUAGGCACGCGCCUCAGCACUAGCGCCUCGCCUCACUAUUGCUGAGGCGCUGAGGCCCGUGCCUCGCGCCUAAGCGCUAAGGCGCGCGCCUCAGGCGCACCUUUUCAAACACUGGUUGUACCCAACUCCCAAGUCCCUGCCUGGGCGCGGCUCGGGAGGGCCUGACCACACAGGCCGGGCCGUGCUGUGCCUGGGUACCCUCUAGGCCCGGCAUAGCCCAGGCCUAUGUCGUGCCGGGCCGUGCCGGGCCAUCGGGCCACGGGAGCAAGGCUCAGCACGGCCGAUUUGACUGGCCGACUCCUAUAUGACAUUGUUGCCUUUUAUAUAACUUAAUAAAUAAUAAUUUAUAAUAUAAUAAAUAAAAAAUAAUAUAAUUGUAUCUCGAUAUAAUUAUAAAAUGUAAUUUAAAAUAACUAAAUUUAUUUUUUUGUGUAUAAAUGAUAAUAAUGCAACAAUAAAAUCCUAAAGUGAAAGAAAUAUCAAAAUUCAACUAAUCAAUUUUCACUUUAUUUUAAAUGUGCAAACUAAAUAAAAGAUAUAUUAAAACUUAACUAAUCAAUCUCCAUCACAUUUUAUACGCGCAAACUAAUGAGUUGUUACUUUUUUCCAUCACGGCCGCACUUCAUUUGAGGGCAUUUGCCACCUCUCCAACACAUGAGACGAGGCCAACAAGGUAAGGAUCUGCCUGAGGUCUUUUGGCACUUGAACGAGGCCCUGGGCUAGGUGGCUCUAUCAAUUGCACAUCUACUAACGACUCGAUCAAUCGCAUAGCCGCUGCAGCUCGAUCAAUCGCACAGUUGCAUAACUGAGUCUCAUACGGUCCAUCUGGUCUAGCUUGUACCUGGCCAAGUGGCACAUUGAUCAAUUGCACAUGCCCACUAAGGCCCUCGACUAGGUGGCUCCAUCAAUAGCACAGGCACAACCAUCUGCGACUGAAUCAAUCGCACAGCCGCUGCAGCUCGAUCAAUCUCACAGCUGCAAGGGAUACCUGCAGAGGAUCCACUAGCUGGGGAGCGACUCCACGCGAGUACACAAUACAGUUGAGACCUCUUGCAUUAACAGAGAAUAACUUAACCUCAUCUCGUGAUCUACAGAUCAUAUCAAUCUCCACUCAACAAGGUAACAACAAGUGUCAUAGGAGUAGAGGUCUUCUGGACUCACGACAUCAAAUCAGUGUACUAGAUAAACACAACAUCUUGACAUAUCAAUAAAUACAGAUUGCAAAAUCUAAUUUCUUAUUUACAUAAUGUCCCACUACCUCAACAAUGGCAAAGACAUGAAAUCAGUAUACGACUCAAUCCAUCAAUAAUAUAAACAAUCUGACAAGAAUCCCCAACAUUGAUCGAUAAAUAUCCAGAAUAAUACCACCAAUAUCAUAACUAUGAAUGAUAUACCAAAGAUACAAUCAUGCAAGAGAAUUAACAGGCAUCUCAGAAAUUUAGGCAUACAAGAUGAAUAGACAUAGUGAUUAGUUCAUCAGUUUCAGCGACAAUGGAACCAACCUGGAUAGUUGUUAGAAAGAAAGCAAGGAGGAAGAAGAGAUUGUCGAUACCAAGAAGUCUAGCAAUCCUUAGCAGCAAGAAUUAGUACUCUAGUCUUCUCCACUCCUUUUCUUUUCCUCUCCUUCCUCCUUUUUUUUUUCUUUCCUUUCCUUUUUCUUUUCUUUCUUUCUUUCUUUCUUUCUUUCUUUCUUUCUCUUCUCCCUCUGUUACUUCUCUCGCUCUCUCUCACUCACGCAUAGGGUAACCCCUAGAGAAGCUGCUCUGUUUUAUAUAUAUAUAUAUAUAUAUAUGAGUCCGGCUGGAUACUAUCGAUAGUUACCAAGGAUUUGUGCUAUCGAGUUUUCCACCGUUAAUUUAAUCGCUCUGAUUUAUUUUUACCCCCGUUAGCUUAUACUAUUCAACCAACUACUCACAUCACCCUAGGGACCCACAUCAUCCUAACCAUCCCAUUUCUCAAUCUAAGGGCAAAAAUCAAUAAGCACCAAUAGCUUGAUGCUAUUGAUAUGUAUUCCAGCCUAGUUCUCUCUCUCUCUCUCGGGGCCCGGAGCCCUCUCUUCUCUCUCAUCCACACCAGUAGACGGCCGCACCUCUCCCCCCGUCUCUCUUCUCGCUUCCCCGGUUCUCUCUCCCUCUCCUCUCUCUCUCUAAUAUAUAUAUAUAUAAUAAUAUAUAUUAAUAUAUAUAUAUAUAUUUGUAACAAUUGUGGAAAAGCCCUCAGAGUCUGAAAGAUUGCACCUUUAUAGAAAAAUACACUUUCGGGUGAUCGAAUCCCACUUUUAGGCAUCUGAAACUUCACGAUUGAGGACUUUCGGGCGUUCGUUCCAAGUAUUGGGCCAUCUGAAAGCUACGUAAAUAUGCUCGAAUCAUCUCAUGGGCGCCUAGACCACAGACCGAAUUCUCGUUUGUACGCCCUAAAUUCUUCCGGGUGCUCAGAACCAGUGUCCGAAACUAGCUGAGUCAACUGCUGAGUCACCAAUGCACCGCCUCAAUCACAUCCAUGCAUCGACCUUUUUUCCGGGCUUCUACAGUGACAUUGGGCGCCCUCAACAUAGGGCCCGAAUUCAACCGAAUUCGCAAACUAUACUCUCAGGUGUCCACAAGUGAGUUCCAAACUUACCACGGCUUUGAACAAUGCUUUCGAGCCCCCUAUUCCUCAUUCCGAGGGCCCUAUUUCUCAUUCCAGGCGUACGAAAACCCAUAAAACUCAAUUUCAGCUUAGUUUAUGCUCCAAAAGCCCUUUUUCGCCUCCGUUUUAUGCCAGGACAAAUCUAACUUAAUCCAACAUCGCACAGACACGCCGAUCAUUGACACAAAUUUCAAUUUAGUCUAUUGGCCAAACUCCAAUAUACUACAAUCCCCACUUUCGCCAAAACAAACAAGCCCUACUUUCGCCAAAACAAAGAAGCCCCACUUUCGCCAAAACGAACAAGCCCCACUUUCGCCAAAACAAACAAGCCCCACUUUCGCCAAAACAAACAAGCCUUUGGUAUCAAAGCUGGUUUGCCAGCCGAAAGUGUGAGAUGGGUCUUACAUCAGGUGAUCUUGGAUUAGGGAAUGCCUAAGGAAUUGGACCUAAUAAGGACAUUAGGAUUCAAACGAGGGGAGCUUGUGAUGCCCCAUUAGUCCCAUGUUGGCUUAAUAAUUGAUUUAAGCAUUUUGGGCCCGAAGGGAUAUUAGUGCUCAAGGCUGGGUUGUUACAAGUUGUGCUUCCAUCAUGUUAGAGGUGAACUUUGAUGGAGGUGGUGUAUUUUUUGGUGUUCCUUAGCACAUGGAUUGUUCAAGAUAAUUUAUUUCUUGCUGGUAAUCUAGGUUAAGUUGUACACAGUAGAACUUCAGGCGUCAGGUUAUACAAACAAACAAACUAUUUUAAUUUGGACAUGCUAGUUUUCUUGGAAGCAAAGAUAUUAGCAUGACAAAUAUGAACGAUAAUGAAGAUUGUUAAGGUGUCUUUCCUGAGUCCUAAUUGGAUUAUCCACCCUAACUUUUUGCAAUUUCAACUUCUGGAUUAUCCACCUUAUUUUUUGCAAUCUUAACUUAUGGAUUAUCCACCAUUAUUUUUGCAAUUCUAACUUCAUAAAAUAAUUAAAUUAUCUUGUGCGAGUAAAAUUCUUUGGGUUAUAGUAUCCCUGCAAAUAAGGUGCAUGCAGCACCUCUCAAUUCAUAUGUACCUUCUUGAUAUGUGGCCAAUUUUUCAUACAGAAGCAAACUGCAGAAUUAUUUAACAUUCAUAAAAUGCUUGAUUUUGCGCUAAUGCCUAAAUUUAUUGUUAAUAGAUAAAGAUAAUUGGUUACCAUGUGUGAUAAGCAAAAUUUUGGUGCUUGGACAUUGUGAUAGUUGCCUCAUGAGCUUGUUGACAUUAUUACGUGUUUUAUCAAUCUUUUCUUCAUGUGAUUGUGUUAACACUGAAUUGUAUGGUUUACCGUGUAUACUCUCAGGUUCAUUUGAACAGUAAGGCUUGUGCUGCUGUUUAUCCUAGCGUUGUACAGAAUAAAGUUUUGUGGUUUUGGCCUAGCACUGAUCCUCAGUACAAGGAUAUCUUAGAGAUGAAACGACCUCCGUACAUCGAAGAGUUGGAUGACCCAUCAUACACCUGUUCGAUGGGAAUAAGGGAACUUCAAUAUGGGUAUAAUUCUAUUCUCUAUUGUUGCUGUAUCACUCUUAGCAAGCAUAGCUACACAUACAAGUGUAUGUAUAUAUAAAUAAAUCUUUAUGUGCACAUAAUUUCUAGAUCCUAAAGCAAAUAUUUUUUUGAGUAGCUUGUUUUUUCUCACAUCUUUCUUUGUUCACACACUCAUUCUUACACCUUUUUGUCCACCAGUCUUGUUCACAACUCACAUUCCAUUGGAACUAUUAAGAAGGAUGGUUAAUCUGUUUUUGUCCAGCAUAAGAAGGGUGCAUAUUUUCUGAACUUUGUGUAUAUUUAUUGGUAGAUCAACAGUUUCGCUCUGAUUUCUAAACUAAUGUCAAUUGAUGGCUCAAACUUCAUCAAGUUGUUCAAUCGAAUCCUAUCAGUGGCUUAUCCGUGAGGGAUGAUGGACUGUUGUAGGUGGGUGGCAGCUGAAGGUUUGCAUGUUGUUCCACAUAAACAUUUUAAUUGAAAACUUCCAUGCUCAAAUGUUGGAAGCUACCUUAGGGCAAAAUUUUGGUGACUAGGAUGCAAUAUUAAGUUAGUUAAAAUGAUUUGUGAUGAUGCAUUGGGUUUCCCUCAAGUUCCAUGGAUAGAAGUUGAUGUUAGGACCUGAUUGAAUUGUUUAAUAUAGUUUGAGCCUUCAAUUAAAUUAAAAUGACGUAAUAGUUAGAAACCAAGUUGAUAUCUGGUUGAUUAUUUGCGGAGCUCGUGUUAAUCAAACCCAUUUCUUAUUAUACUUUUGCAGUAUUAAUUAUCAUUUACAAAGAUUUUGCUAUAGACAUGAGUCUCAUUGCUAACCAUCUAGCUUUCAUGCGUGACCUAUCUGUAUUUAAAAUAGAGAUUACUAAAUAAACAUUUCAGGUAUGAAGUCCUUAUAGAAAACCUCAUGGAUCCAGCUCAUGUUCCAUACGCACAUCGUGGAAUAAUGAGAACAAGGAGACGUGUGGAACCUGGCAGAUAAGUAACUCUUAUAGACUUCUCUUUUUUAGCAUUACUAAGUUUUUUUUCAGUGUUGGGCCUAUUGGCCCACAUGGUCUUGAACUAAACCAAGCUUUGUUGUGAUUUAUUUGAUUCCAAUAUAUAUUUCCAGGUUGACUUAUUUGGAAAGAUUGCUAAUAGAUAAACUUAUUUCACAGCUGAAGCUGAUCGAGAGGGAGGUGGACCUAUAGAUAUAACAAUAACAGAAUCAAGUAAAAGCGGUUUCCUUGCAAAUCUGGAAUUUGGCUAUUUUAAAUUUGCAGCUCCAUGCCUCUUUUAUGGUGCCGGAACUAUUAGCCGAUCUGCUUCAUCUAGGAAUGUCCAAGAGGUAUUCAUUCAAAUAUAACCUGUUCAAACAGUAUUACAAUGUAGAAAUUUCUGCUCUCUUUUUCUUUCAUCUUAGCAACUAAGUUGUGCUAAUUCAGAAUAUUUCAGCUCAACCCCAGCAGAGGCUCAAGAGGUCUCUUCUCAUAUUCAUGUGUAUUCCAGUCAGUCCUGGAAGAAGCCGACUGAUUUUUGUACUUCAAAGGAAUUUUGCUGUUUGGAUUGAGCUAUUUUUUCGGCGAUGGAUGCGUCAUGUGGGACAAAACCUUAUUUUGGAUUCUGACCAUUAUCUUCUCCAUGUAGAGGUACUAUCCAUGACCCUUGCGUUUUAUCUCUUUGCCAUCUUACCGUUUAGCUUUUUAGGUAGGAAAAUUUGAAGAUGCCUAUCAUAUAUUCCAACCUUUACUGUUUAGUGUGAUAUCUUAUUGAGCAUUUUGCAGUUUUUUUACAUGAGCACUGAAAUACUUGGUUCGCGUGUAUAAACAAUAUUCAGGUUUUCCAGUUUGAUUCAUUUUGGUUAUUUGGGGCUGUUCCUUGUUAGUUGAUGACGCUUAUUUCAUUCUCCAUCUAAUUGUGCUUUCUGGUCAUAAUCUAUGUCUUUCUGAAGAUACCAUCAUAAACUUGUUUUAAUGCUUUUUUGAUUAAUGCCAACUCCUUUUGGCCUAUUAAUAUACCUCCUUUUUACUAAAUAAGCACUUAUCUUCAGGAGCGCAAGAUCGCGAAAGUUGGCUUUUCCAAUUGGUUCAAAGCUUGUUAUGUGCCAACAAAGUCAGAUGCCAUGGUUAUAGCCUUCAGAAACUGGUUACGAAAAUAUUCAAACAAUCAGGUUGACUGGGGGAACAUGUCUAGCGAGCAGCUUCCACCAACUCCCCCGAGAGAGCAGCUGAUGGACAGGUACAACAAUAUUUAAAGUGGAUUGCUUCAUUCUCCAGUUGAUCAAUCACAGUUUAUAUACUCUUUAUUUAAUUGAUUAUUGGAGAUUUUGUAUAUGUACCACUGAAAAAUCAUUUAUUGACAUAUAUGCUACUUUACUAACUGAAUUUUUAUAUAUAUACACCCUUGAAACUGCGUUUUCUUUUGAUGGGAUUGUUCACUAUUUAUACACCUUAGAGAUUUGUUCGACAAUAAUUUUUCACUUCUUUGUCUUUCUUUUUCAAAGUAAAAUGAGCUUGCAAGCUGACUAACAAUGAUACCUGGCUUGCUCCGCAACAUAGAAUUUGAUUUUUCCUUCUUUCUUUUAAAAGUGGAUAAACAAUAGUGCAACCAAGCGGGCCUAAAUUUUCGAAGGUGAUUUGCGAAAUUCAGAUUUUGCCGGAAUACAUGUAAAGAUAAUUUUGCGUCGGGAAUAACGUUAUUGUUUCGUAAUUACCAAACAAGCAUGAAGUGAGCUAAACAUUUUCUGUUCUAAUCAUAUUCCUUUCAGAUACUGGUCGCAUGUUGUGCAAUGCAGUAGCUGCCGUGGAGGAUUGAAAUUUCUAAAGGCCCUCGAGUUUUCUCUUCAAGUUCUCUCAUUAGCCCUAAUCGGGAUUGUUGCAGCGGCCGGACAUAGUUUAACUUCAGCCACCACAAGGAAUUCCGUUGUCUCUGCAGCAGUACUGUGUUUCGUGGCUUCGCGGUGGCUCUCUCAUUUCAUCUAUAAGACCUUUUAUUUCCAUGAUUACAACCAUGCUUUCAAAUGAUCACUCUGCAGGUGAGGCCUUCUCUUAACAAAAUAAUAAAUAUUAUUUACCUUCCUUCUGUGAUACUCCUUCAUAACUGCAAUAUUGAUGUAUAUAACUGAACAGACAUACAUAUUCUCUCUCAGAAAAUUGUAAUUAUAAGGCAGCUUACGAUGCACAGCUGUU
rnacentral:lncRNA from 1 species